UACGAAGGGGCUAGCGUUGCUCGGAAUCACUGGGCGUAAAGCGCACGUAGGCGGAUUGUUAAGUCAGGGGUGAAUCCUGGAGCUCAACUCCAGAACUGCCUUGAUACUGGCGAUCUUGAGUCCGGGAGAGGUGAGUGGAACUCCGAGUGUAGAGGUGAAAUUCGUAGAUAUUCGGAAGAACACCAGUGGCGAAGGCGGCUCACUGGCCCGGUACUGACGCUGAUGUGCGAAAGCGUGGGGAGCAAACAGGG
rnacentral:rRNA from 1 species